AACAUUUGCUUCUGUGACGGUGAUUAGUGUGAUGUCCUUACUGGGCUAGUGUAGCUCAUUCCUUAUUUAACCAUUUCAGAUCAGGAGGACCAGGGUCCCGAGCCCGAUCCACAAGAAGACGGCGAGUAGAUGCUAGAUACCAUAUAGUUUUCUUUAUUUUUCUUCAAUCUCGUAUUCCUUUUAGAGAACUUUUUCGUGAUAUUGUUUAGUACUUUUAAAUUAUUGUGUAAGGGAUAUUAACCUUAAUAUUUUAUUUCACUUCUGCACUCAGAUUAUUACAUAUAUUUCCUUUUG
rnacentral:lncRNA from 1 species